AGCUGAGGGACGGGAUGCCAUCCAGAGACCUGGACAGGCUGAGCAGUGUGCAGCCAGCAGGGCGAGGGAGGGGAUCCUGCCCCUCACCUGGAGCGCUGCGUCCACAGGCGGAGUGCUCAGCACAGCAGAGACGGGGGCCUGUUGGAGAGCGUCCAGAGGAGGGCCGCACAAAGGAUCAGGGAUGGAGCAGCUCCCUACGAGGACAGGCUGAGAGAGCUGGGGCUGUGCAGCCUGGACAAGGGAAGGCUGAGGGAGACCUGGGGGCGGCCUGUCUGUAUCUACGUGGGGCUGUAAGAAAGAUGGGGACAGGCUCUUCUGCAGGGUCUGCUGUGACAGGACAAGAGGAAAUGGUUUCAAACUAAAAGAGGGGAGAAUUAGGCUGGAUGUAAGAAAAAAGGCUUUUAUGAUCAAGGUGGUGAGGCAUCAGAACAGGUUGCCCACACAAAUGGUGGAUACCUGUUCCUGGAGACACUCAAGGUCAGGCUGGAGGGGCUCUGAGCACCUGAUGGAGCUGUAGGCAUCCUUCCUCCUUGUGGGGGAAUCGAUCCAGAUGACCUUCUAUAGUCCCUACUAACUGAACUUAUUCUGUGAUUCUAGGAUUCUAUUCUAUGAUUCUAUGGAGCAUUGGAGUCUCUGGCUCAUUGUUACAGGAAAAUAGCAACCAGAAGUGAGAGCCUACAAGCUGUUUUGCUUCAAGGAGAGCAGGCAGGGCUUCCCCUCCAAACAGAGCCUCCACGGAGCCUAGGUCUGGAUGGUGGGAAAUCCUGACCAGAGCCAGCUCCUGGCUUAUUCCUCUACCUGGUGCCAGCUCAGCGCACCGACCCUCUCAGAGUGGCUGGGAACAUUUCCCUUCCCUACCGGGCACCUCCAGAGCUCCCAGUAUUUCCUCAAACCUGGGACUGCCCGGCAACGACCGUUCCGGAGAAGAUCCCUGCGGCUCCCAGCCCGGACUGGCUCGGCAGAUGGAGCUGCUCCCCAAUGAUGCAGAGGAAUGCUGGGCUUAAAGCAGAGUCCUGCGCUGGGCAAGGAGAUUAUUUCUGCAUUUUCUUUCUGCCGGAUGCGGAAUGAGGGGUUUGUUUCAGUGAGAACUGAACGACUGUGCAGCAAACUGCUCCAUUCCCGCAGGCGGGGGGCUCAGAGGAACGGAAAACCCUAGGAAAUAUUUCUGCUCCAGACGUGAUCUGGACUCGCCUGGCUCUAGGGGGGGUGUUUGCAAAGGCGAUCACAGUGAGACGAGCUAUCAGCUCUCAGUGCAGUAGGCAGCGCAGGGACAUCAGCGCCCAUUCCCCGUGCGCAGACCUCCCGCAGCCUCUGCAGUGGCUGUGUCCCCAGUGGGUCCCUUCGCGCUAAGUCUUGCUGGCUUCGUAGCUAAGCUGUGCGAUAGCCCUGUCCUUCCCUCUCUCCCCUUCUCCGCCUGCAGCGACAGCGGAACCUCUUCUCUCGCAGCAAGCUCCUUGUGGAGGACAGCAGAAUGGCUGAUGUGGCAGCACCCAGUAAACCAGCCCAAAUGAAGCACAAGUAUACCCACGUGGUGGAGUUCAUCUUAGAGAAAUCCCAGCUGGCAGGUGGGUUGGGAGGGCAAAAAGAGGAAGGAAGGAGGAAGAAGAAAACUCAAGGGUGGCAACUCAGGGCUGAGUACACAAAAACAUCUUCAAAGCAAGGAGCUUGUUUUUCAAACACACCAUGGUUUCGCUGGAAACAACCCGAGCUGAGCCGGGAGCGGGGCCAAUCCCAGGGCUGCUGCCAGCUGCGAGCCCUGGCAGCGUGCCCUACUGCGCGUGUAACCCAACCUGCACCCAAACUGCAGGUCCCACACUGAGACCAGGCUGCACCUCUUCGUGGCACUACGACCUUUCUUCUUCCUAUUCUCUGCAGUCCCUUCCCAAAGGAAGGGUUCCGCAACAACAACAUUUGCCCACGAUGCUUUUAUCCGUUCUUGCUCUUUUUCAGGCCAAGCAUUGCUCACCCUGACAGCUUGCUGGGAAAAUGUCCCAGGUCUCCUUUUGGUGACAGGGAGGCUGCUGUGAUCAAUACCAAACACAGUGACCUCUGGUAUUUCUAAUGGCUCCCUGGGCAGCUAAUCAUCUCCAUAUACUUAGGUACUGAUGUCACAGCGGUGCGGGUAAAUAUUUCCAACAUAUAUUGCUGGGGAAUGCUGUGCUGAGCAAGAUGGAUUUCUUUUUUCUUCCCCUCCAUACGCACUGUUCCUGCAAAUCUGGGGUCCUGAGGGUGCAUCAGACCACACAGAUCCCCAGACCUGUGUCAUCUGCUCCAUCUUCUGCCAUUUUUCCUGCCUGCCACUGGAUGCUUUUUCAGGUGCUGGGAUCUUGGCAUCUCUUGAUACGACUGAGCUGUGUAUAGCAUUAGUGUGCAUUUCUCGACAAACUAAUGUUUUUGGCUUUAACAUAGUCCUGGUCUGGCAACGAUUCCAGUCUAACACCUAAUCACAAAUUCUGUGCCUACACAUCUUCCACCCCUUUUGCAGCAUGGACUCUGGCUUGGUGUAAGAUAUGUGCCCUGGGAGUUACAGGACUUUAAUAAGGACAAGAAAUGGCAGAUUGGAAGAAGGGAAAUAUCCUUUUCCCCAGGUGGAAUGAGAUGGGAAUAGAAAAAAUUAAGCAGCAAGGUUCCUAACCAAGGGCUCAUGGAAAGUCAGAUUACCCAUCGCAAAGAAAAACAUGGAAAAAUUCAAAAAGGAGAGGACAAGGAGAUCCAUGGGACCAGAAACUUCACACCAGUGAAGCAGAAGCCAUCAAAGGAGUUGAGGCCCAUGCUGGGGGCCGUCAUGCUGGGCCUCAUCCUGUUCAUCGCCGCGGUGGUGGCCUGGUGCUACUACACGGUGUCCCUGCGGAAGG